UAGGACCCUUACCUCCACGGAACCGUACGGAGAAGCACAGUGGCUCCUCCCCCUCCGCAGAGCUCUGAUCAAUUACUUCAUGGAACUUCUUCCAAUAGGGAAGUAAUCGUUCUUUACUGUUCAAUCCAACAUCACAUUCUCUCUGAUGUCGAAUCAAAAUUCGCCAUUUCCGUGCUCUGGGGAGGAUUUUAAGCUGCAGAGCCCAUCUGGGAUAGUGGGUCGAUGAAGAAGUUUCGUAUCGUUUCCUGAAAUUAGGCAAACCAGUCAUAACUCCAUGAGUUGAUUGGAAGAACCCUAGUCUUGGAUUGAUGAAGAAAGUUGUUCUGUUUAGCCUCAUAUUAUAAUCUUUGAGUGUCCAUAUCGAAAGACCAUGGGUGUGGGGCCCUGUGAUCGGCUGCAUCAGGCACUAUGCGAGUGCCAUCGGCGUGUCCCAGCCGGAAUAGAUCGUGAGAUUGCUUGUAGACAUCUGAACCAGGCUCUGGCCCUGUGCUUGGUUUCGGAAGCUUGCCCCCAGGAGUCGGAGGCGGUACGGAGCUUGUGUGCCAGUGGAGGGACCGCUCUCAAGCGGUCACAGUGCCAACAAGCUCAACUCGCUCUCUCAGUUUGCAUUUCUUCACAUCAACAAUAAUACUCUUUAUUCCCCAUUUUUUUAAACAAAUUAUUCUAAUGAUAUGAUGGUCAAUAUAAUGCAUUGAUACUUAUAUUAUACAUAUACAUAUAUAUAUAUAUAUUUAUUUAUUUUCCUCUGAGUUGUAAUAUGGGAGGAUGCCCUGUACAGUUCUUUAAAUUCUGAAGUUAAGUGAAACAUGUUCCAUCUGGUUUUCUGGUUCCUACAUGUUCUAUAGACUUGCAUCUCUUUGGUGCUUUUGCUGAGUGACGGUUUAGAUUAAAAACUCGAUAUGAAGUUAAAGCUUUGAAAGCAGAUUCUGUAAUAUCGUAGGAGGCCAAGGGGCACCAAAGGGAGAAUUCAGUAAGAAACAGAAGCCCAAUCAGAGUUUUUCUGUGUAAGCAGUCUUUGGCGUCAAAAUUCUGAUGCUCAUGAAGCUUGCUGGAAGAGAAAUACAGAUUUGUUGGUUCCGAAUAUGUAUCUCUGAGGUGGAAGGUUGAUCAGCAGUAUGGACCUUGAGAGCAGCAGAAGGUUUGAUGGUGCUAGGAAACUUGCUCUUGUUAUGUGCUUCUUUCUGGUGAAGAGGUCUUAUGUGUGAAUCUUGUCUGGUGGUUUCUCUUCCAUUUGUUAUGAUUUUGCUUCUGAAUCUGAUGAUGGUUGAAAUGCUUCAUUAAAUACAAGAACUGGACAUGAGUGCACCUUGAGAUGUAGUUGAAGGGGAAAUUCUAUCAACUCAAUACUUAUUUACUGGUUUUAAAAUAAAUCUAGUGCGGAAAUUGUCCAAAACUUCCAGUUGGUUAAAAUGGUGGCUUUGAAGCUUUUUCCUAUGAAGAGAUUAAUAAGAUCAUUACUGAAGUGGCAUUAUCAAAUCAUGGCGGAAGUUGGGAAUCUGAAUGGUAAACUUUCUUAGCCAUGGUAUGCUGCAGAUUGUACGGAAGCCUCUGCGAAAGUGCGAGACAGGGAACUUAACUUGUCACCGCGACCUCUGCUGAGAAGGAAGAGUGCUUGUUCUCAGGUGAAUGCAGCAAUAGGAGUCUUUGACCCUCUGUCUCGGUCAGCUUUGGCACUGAUGAAUGAAGUGAAGCAGCGAUUUGGGCUAUCAUGUUUUGAUAACUACAGGUCCCACCCCAUGGAUGGAAAAAAGUCGUGCCGUGAAGGUCACAGGCAAGUACUCUGGGCCAAAAGUGGGACUAAUAGUUCGUCCAUUUCAUCGGUGUAAUUGUAUGGGAAUAAUGUCAUGCACAUGACAGUGAGUUAAAAUUUCUUGUUCUGUUUAGCAAAAAUUUACGCAGUUUUUUCUUGUAACUUGUGGUUUUCAUAUAGUUGAAAUCUAACCUUCUUCGUUGAUGUAUCGAUGUAAUGGAAUAACUCUCCAACUGCUCUGAUGUAUACAAGGAUCACGAAAUCCCGAGUUUACUUA